GGGUUUGGAUGUGUGUUUUUUAGAGUAUUAGGCUUUAAUAUUUGAGGUAGUUUUGGAGGUGAUCAUUUGAGAGGUGGAAGGUUGUGGUAAGGGUUGUUUUUGUUGUGAUUGGGAUUUUUAUGGUGCGGGUUGAAGUGAUGGUGUUUUGUGAACCAAGGUAAAAAGGGGUAGACUUUUUGCCUCGCCUGUAUACGCCUUUGCUUGGGAAC
rnacentral:lncRNA from 1 species